AACAGCAAUUCUGAGGGGAAACUUUGAGAGAGAAAAUAUAAGAUCCUGAGUAGAAGAUAAGGGUUUCUAGAAGAUAAGGGGUUAUCAAGUAUUUGAGACAGGAAGAUCUGUUGACUAAGAGACUGGAAGGAGAACAGCAUGGCAACUUUCUGCUAUCAAUUAGCGAGCCUCAUCGAUCAAUGUGGGUGAGAAUGAAUUAAGAGAGUUAAGAAAGCAGACAGAGAAAAGAUAACUCGGUGAUGCAGGUUAGAGGAACAGCCAGGAAGUGACUUGCCACAUCAACGGCAAAAACGAAAGGCGCAGAAGAGGAUAAGCAGGCACAGCUCUGGGCGUUCAGUUCAUGUUGCUGCCUCAGUGGGGAGCAGGAGAAGAGAGCUGCACGCUCCGACGCCUUCUGCCUGCCGCCCCCUCUGACCUGCGGGCGAGAGGCACCAGCUGCUGCUCCAGAAUCUUCGGAACGUUCCCCGGCGCUGCUUGGAGCGCGGAGGGCGCCAAGCAAGAUCAAGCUAAAAGUUGACUGCUACUGUGAAAAGUAUUGCUGGCACAAUCUAAAGCCACAUAGUGCAGUUUUAAAGGGAAGAAGGAAGAGCAAAAAAGGUCCAGUUCUAUGGCCAUAGUGCUGCUCUGGAUAGUAAUUAUAAU